CAAGGUUCGACUCGAGCGCCAGCGAGAGAGCGUUGCCGCAGGCAACGACCCGAAGGGCGAAGCGCGCAGCGCUGAGUAAUCCUUCCCCCACCACCA
rnacentral:sRNA from 1 species